rnacentral:tRNA from 1 species
GUUGGAAUAGCUCAGUUGGUUAGAGCGUGUGACUAUUAACCACAAGGUCUGAGAUUCGGCCCCUCCUUCUAGCG